rnacentral:rRNA from 1 species
GACAUAGGUCGCAAACGUUAUCCGGAAUCAUUGGGCGUAAAGGGUGCGUAGAUGGCAUAAUAAGUUAUUAGUGGUAAAUCGAGGCUCAACCUCGCGGAAGCUAGUAAUACUGUUUUGCUUGAGUGCAGAAGAGGUUAACGGAACUCCAUGUGGAGCGGUAAAAUGCGUAGAUAUAUGGAAGAACAUCAAUAACGGCGAAGGCAGUUAACUAUUCUGUUACUGACAUUGAGGCACGAAAGCGUGGGGAGCAAAACGG